UACGUAGGGUGAGAGCGUUAAUCGGAAUUACUGGGCGUAAAGCGUGCGCAGGCGGUGAGUUAAGUCUGAUGUGAAAGCCCCGGGCUCAACCUGGGAAUGGCAUUGGAAACUGUCAAGCUUGAGUCCGGAAGAGGCGAGUGGAAUUCCUGGUGUAGCGGUGAAAUGCGCAGAUAUCAGGAGGAACACCAAUGGCGAAGGCAGCUCGCUGGGACGGUACUGACGCUGAGACGCGAAAGCGUGGGGAGCAAACAGG
rnacentral:rRNA from 1 species